rnacentral:misc_RNA from 1 species
AACGCACCUUGCGCUCCUUGGUAUUCCGAGGAGCAUGCCUGUUUGAGUGUCAUGAAUUCUCAACCCUCGAUGCUUUAUUGCAUUGCUUGGGGUUGGUCCUUGGGUGCUUGCUGUUGUAUGACAGCUCACCUCAAAUGUAUUAGCUGGACCGUAUGUAACGCGUAGGUGUCCUCAACGUGAUAAAGUCAUUCGUUGAGGCGGCGGCUUCUGGCUGCCCCUGCCAUCUAUGUACACGCGUCUGCUUCUAACCCGGCGAACGACUACUUGUAGUCUGACCCAUGACUUAAAUCUCUGGCCUCAAAUCAGGUAGGAUUACCCGCUGAACUUAA